AUUCCGAGCUGCUUCCAGCUAGAGCGCAGAGUCCUUCCCCUCCAAAUCCUCCCUAUUUAUCACCACCAUUCCUCUCCGAUCUCCUCCAAGCUUGCUUCCUGCUUCCUCCCUCCUGUGCUCCGUCGAGCUCCCACGGGCCAUCAGCUCCAGCGACGGCAGGGUCGAGCUCGACCCACGACCGCAACGCGCAUUCGCUUCAUCACCACAUAGUUCAAGAAAGAGGUGAAGAUCAGCUAUGAAGGGGAGCAGGCUGAUUACUCUUCUGUUUCUCGGGUAUCUCGCAGCAGUUGGACAGUGCUACCAAUAUCAUGAUUCACCGUUACAUGAAGGCAAAAUCAACGUGAAAAUGUGCAUCCCAAGGAACUGCGACGAUCCCAGUAGAGAGAUCGGUUCCAAAGGGUGCUACUACUGCGUCUCACGCCCGGGCAAAGCGCCGUGUUGGCGCAACCUUAAGGAAUGCCAAGAAAAUUGCCCAACAUGCACUCCGAAUUGCCCACCUGCCUCGGCGAUUGAAUUACAAGCAUGCACAUGAGUGCUUGAAUAAUUGUGUUCAUGUUCGUUACUGUAAGUUAGCUCGGCAAAAUAAAUGUGUUGAUGGACAUGUAUCUUUGCCUCUAGUUUGUGCGUCCAAUCUGGUAAGAUCGGUUUCAGCUAAAUGUAUGUCAGGGUUCAUGAUUAAUAAAGUGAAACGAAGAAUGGUUCCUCUUGGCCGUUCUUCAUGUAUGUCAGGGUUCUGAUA